AACGAACGCUGGCGGCAGGCCUAACACAUGCAAGUCGAGCGCCCCGCAAGGGGAGCGGCGGACGGGUGAGUAACGCGUGGGAACGUACCCUUUUCUGCGGAAUAGCCCAGGGAAACUUGGAUUAAUACCGCAUACGCCCUUCGGGGGAAAGAUUUAUCGGAGAAGGAUCGGCCCGCGUUGGAUUAGGUAGUUGGUGGGGUAAUGGCCUACCAAGCCGACGAUCCAUAGCUGGUUUGAGAGGAUGAUCAGCCACACUGGGACUGAGACACGGCCCAGACUCCUACGGGAGGCAGCAGUGGGGAAUCUUCGGCAAUGGGCGCAAGCCUGACCGAGCCAUGCCGCGUGAGCGAUGAAGGCCUUAGGGUUGUAAAGCUCUUUCGCCAGGGAUGAUAAUGACAGUACCUGGUAAAGAAACCCCGGCUAACUCCGUGCCAGCCGCCGCAGUAAGAC
rnacentral:rRNA from 1 species